CCCUUAGAUGUUCUGGGCCGCACGCGCGCUACACUGACUGCUCCAACAAGUUACCUGGGCUGACAAGCAUCCGGGAAAUCUUGCAAAGGCAGUCGUGUUGGGGAUAGAUUCUUGUAAUUUUUGAUCUUCAACGAGGAAUUCCUAGUAAACGCAAGUCAUCAGCUUGCAUUGAUUACGUCCCUGCCCUUUGUACACACCGCCCGUCGCAUCUACCGAUUGAAUGGAGAGGCAAAAUCUUCGGACCGUGACGCUUGGGAGUCAAAUCUCGGGCUGUCGUGGGAAGUGGAUUAAACCUUUCUAUUUAGAGGAAGGUAAAGUCGUAACA
rnacentral:rRNA from 1 species